UAACAUGGUACAGGGUUUGAAUGAAGGCGAAAGAUCGUGUAAGUGGGAGAGAAUGGGGAGGGCAAGGACAGGUUCCAAAGACCUCUUACCGUUAGUGCUGGAUCAUGAGGCAUAGCCGCUGCUGGGAAUCCCUGCCCUGUGUUGCUCUUUCUCACGACACUGUCCUUUUCUUCCUUAGCAGUUGCUCACAAUCAGUACCUCUAUAUUUACCGGCAUGUUUAUUUAUUUAGUGGUCUACCUCACCAGGCUGUAGAUUUCCUGAGGUGGGCCACAUGGGCCACUCCGACUUGUUCCCUGUGGUAUUCCCAGCACAAAGCCCAGUGCCUGGUGUGUAGUAUGCAGUCAACAAAAAUCUGUUGAAUGAAUAAAUGAAUGAUUAGGUGAUUCAUAAAUAGCAAUAGAUGCCAUUACUGAAUGUCUAUUAGGUAACACAUACUGUGGUAGUAAGCGUGUAGAUGAUCAAAUUUAAUACAUUCAACAAUACCAGGUAAAUUUUAUUAUAUCAGCUUUAUAGAAGAAUGGAGGACUAGAAAAGAUCAGUAAUUUGCCCAAUGUCAUACCACAAGUACCUGGCUAAAGCCAUACCCACGUAGGUCUAACUCCAACGUCCGUGCUGUGAAUCACUGCAUAAUAGUGCCUCCCAUUUAUUGAGUGUGUACUAUGUGCCAGUCAUUUGGAACCACUUGACCUCACUUCAUUUUCUCACUUACUUCUAGCAACAAGUCUAUGAGUUAGAUGUUAUGAGCCUCAUUUAAUAGAUGAGAAAACAGAUUCCGAGAUGUUUAUUCAUUCACUCAACACAUAUUUCUUUUCUGUCUAGCAAUUGCCAGGCACUUCCUCCUGAAGAUAAAAUGGUGAGACAAGUAGACAUCAUCCCUGCCCAUGUGGAGCUUACGGUCCAGUGCGGGAGGCAGGCUGUGAUCAGAUGUGCAACGACAAGCUAAGUGAGAAGUGCUAUGAGGGGAAGUCCGAGGUGUCACAUGCAGACCCCACAGCUUCCAGUCAGAAGAGCAGACUUGUGAAGACUCCUGCAGUGGAAACGGAUUCACCUCUGGCUCCGGCUCCAGUUACUGAACUUCUCGCACAGACUGGUGCACCAGUGCCCUUGGCAUUGCCUUUGUUGAUCUGGCUGGGCCACAGGUCCAUCUAAGUGAUCAGAAAGUAGGAGCCCUGAAUAUCUUCAGAAGAGCAUAUACUCUGGCAGGGAAGCAGCCAUAACAGACUGUCACCAAACGGAGCCCUAGCCCCAGACGUAGACCAGCCUUGAGGUUGUUUCCGCAAGCUCUCUGGCGCUCCGGACGGCCUCCGGGGGACCAGCUGCAGAAAGGUGAAAAGUGGAUCCGGAGGAUCCUGCUCAGUUCAACAGCCAGGAAAACACGAGGGCUUCCAGACGCCGCGGAGAAUAACUUUCCCAGAGCGCGCGUGGCCUUCCUGAGAAACAGCUGCUUGCUGGUGGAAGUUUAUGAUAAUAAACUAAACCGGGCGAGCA
rnacentral:lncRNA from 1 species